UGUUCAUUUUUUUACUUUUGAGCGGUGCCGUGUUAUUUACGUGACCAUGGUAACGGGUGAAUUCGGCACCGCCCGCAUAGAAAUUUACCAUUAUCAAAACAGUUCAAACACCAUCUUGGUCAUUCAGGGUACAGUUACCGUAAUCAACCGUACUUAAAUGGUUAGUCGACUAUGGUAAAACAUUAACGAAAUCUUACAAAAAAAAGUUAACAUUCUGAAUAUUAUUCUCAUACAAUUUUUUACGUUGCAAACAUUUGCGAACCAUUCGCCCUAAUAAUACCCUAACCAUAAUAGUAACAGUUACCAUGUCGAUUACCAGAGCGACUGUCGUUCGCGUGUUUUGUUUUUUCUGCCCGGGAUAAAUUCAACUUUUUUACUCAAGUGUUAGCGAUUAAAAACGGCUUUGGAAUUAAAAUUUAAUUCAACGGCGAUCCAAGAUCUCAUAAACGAACAGGAGCAAGGCUGUGAUGACGGAGAAUGUCGCGAAAAAAUGGAUGAUGCAACAAGGAAAAAUCUAUCGGCAUCUGGGACAGAACUUCCGACGCGCAGCAGUAAAUCAAGGAAGCAUGACUUGGAGCAGUGAACCAGCAGGGAGCAGCAGGUACUUUAGCUUAGCUUAGACUGACUACACAUAUCAAUGGUUGCUAUUCCGUGAUUGACCGAAGUCAGUGAAAAU